UCAUACAAUGCAGGUGCUGGGGUUGUCGCUGACUUUUGAAAGGGUCGUGCACACCUCGGUGCUCUCGCACAUAAUCCAUCUCACCCUUUGUGCAUUAUCGCGUGGGGGCCCCUUUUGGCUAUUUCUGAGGGGGGUCUUCAUGUUUUUACAUUAACGCAUGUGUAGAAUGUCUUACUUUUUGUGAUCACACACAAUCAAUA
rnacentral:misc_RNA from 1 species